rnacentral:rRNA from 1 species
CAAUACCGCGUGUGGGAGGAAGGCCCUUGGGUUGUAAACCWCUUUUAUCAGGGAAGAAGCUCUGACGGUACCUGAUGAAUAAGCAUCGGCUAACUCCGUGCCAGCAGCCGCGGUAAUACGGAGGAUGCAAGCGUUAUCCGGAAUCAUUGGGCGUAAAGCGUCCGUAGGUGGUUUGUCAAGUCUGUCGUCAAAGAAUGGAGCUUAACUCCAUAAAGGCGGUGGAAACUGAGAGACUAGAGUUCGGUAGGGGUAGCGGGAAUUCCCAGUGUAGCGGUGAAAUGCGUAGAUAU